UACGGAGGAUGCAAGCGUUAUCCGGAAUGAUUGGGCGUAAAGCGUCCGCAGGUGGCUGUGUAAGUCUGCUGUUAAAGAGUGAGGCUCAACCUCAUAAAAGCAGUGGAAACUACACAGCUAGAGUGCGGUAGGGGCAGAGGGAAUUCCUGGUGUAGCGGUGAAAUGCGUAGAGAUCAGGAAGAACACCGGUGGCGAAAGCGCUCUGCUAGGCCGCAACUGACACUGAGGGACGAAAGCUAGGGGAGCGAAUGGG
rnacentral:rRNA from 1 species